GAUGAACGCUGGCGGCGUGCCUAAUACAUGCAAGUCGAGCGAACAGACGAGGCGCUUGCUCCUCUGCCGUUAGCGGCGGGCGGGUGAGUCAUACGUGGAUAACCUACCUAUAAGACUGGGAUAACUUCGGGAAACCGGAGCUCAUACCGGAUAAUAUAUUGAACCGCAUGGUUCAUUAGUGAACGACGGUUUUGCUGUCACUUAUAGAUGGAUCCGCGCCGCAUUAGCUAGUUGGUAAGGUAACGGCUUACCAAGGCGACGAUGCGUAGCCGACCUGAGAGGGUGAUCAGCCACACUGGAACUGAGACACGGUCCAGACUCCUACGGGAGGCAGCAGUAGGGAAUCUUCCGCAAUGGGCGAAAGCCUGACGGAGCAACGCCGCGUGAGUGAUGAAGGUCUUCGGAUCGUAAAACUCUGUAAGUAGGGAAGAACAAAUGUGUAAGUAACUAUGCACGUCUUGACGGUACCUAAUCAGAAAGCCACGGCUAACUACGUG
rnacentral:rRNA from 1 species